rnacentral:lncRNA from 1 species
AGCUGUCAGACCGGUGACUGUGGUGGACUUCUUCAGUGCACUGCCUACGGUGCACCACCAAAUACUCUAGCAGAAUUUGCAUUGAACCAGUUCAGUAACCUGGACUUCUUCGACAUUUCCCUUGUUGAUGGCUUCAAUGUGCCGAUGGAUUUCAGCCCUACAUCCAAUGGCUGCACCCGGGGCAUCAGCUGCACAGCCGACAUAAAUGGGCAGUGCCCAAGUGUGCUUAAAGCUCCAGGAGGUUGCAACAAUCCAUGCACUGUUUUCAAGACUGAUCAGUACUGCUGCAACUCAGGCAGCUGCAGUCCGACUGACUAUUCCAAGUUCUUCAAGGAUAGGUGCCCAGAUGCAUACAGCUACCCGAAAGAUGACCAGACUAGCACUUUCACGUGCCCUGCAGGAACCAACUAUAGGGUUGUCUUUUGCCCUUAGGCCAAUACCAAGGAUCCUAAAAAUUCUCUCGUUGCUUCCGACAUAGUCAAAUAUAGUGCCAGAUGCUAAAUAACAUGUUGCAACAGCACAUGUAGUGAUGUGCAAAUGCAUCUUUCUUUUAAGUUCAAACAAAUAUACAGUUGUAUUGAGAUUGGGUUUAAGGAAUAGUUAUCAAUGCACGUUGAUGAAUAAAACUUAACUAUCCCUUAUAGUAAUAUAGCUGAAUGCAUGAUCUCUUCCUACGUAAUUUGGGCCAAACCCUUGGAUUUCUACAAGCAUGACGGUGCAACGAUGUUAUUCACUCCUCUUCCUUCUUCCUUUUUCUUUUCUUUCACCUCCGAGAAGUUGCAUGGGAAGGCUAAGUCCGCAUGUAAUAUUGUACGUAAUUGGUUUUUUUUUUUUUUCUUUUGGGAAUCCUAAAAAAAAAAACCUUUGCAUCCCAAGAAAAGAAAUUCUACCAUCCAUUAUAUCUUUGUUACCCAAAAAAAAAAGGGGGGGGGGGGGCAGCCUUUGGCAUUUAGAAGUCCAUUUGAUACCUUUUUCGCUUAAACAAGGAUAUCGUCUAAAGGUAAUCAAAUUCGAUGGCUAUCCUUCUCUUUUUUAAUUUUUUUUAAAAAUUUUAAAAGAGACUUCAAAUCUUCUUCAAUGGAAAAUGAAGAAAACAAGAAAGGGGAAGAUUGGAGUUAGCAAGGCGCAUUAAUUUGUGCCUACAUUAAUUAAUUUGUUAAUGACCGUGUUGGGUCUUGGGACAUUUCUUUUAAGUAUUUUCUUUUGCUGCUCCUAAGAUCUCGACCAAAAAAAAAAAAAAAAAAAAUAUAUAUAUAUAUAUAUAUAUAUACGUUUUAUGCUAUUGACACACACAAAUCCGGUCCAAGACCGUUUAAUCCAGUUAGAUGCUCCUCACAGUUAAUGCGAGGACCGGUUGGCUACUGGGCCUAAAUGUCCACCAAGUCUCAAUUAAUGACUUUCUGCCAUCAGCGACGCUGACGACCAACUCGUGUGCUAAUUUUUGGACUCAAUUCCUGUAUUGGGUUUGUUUGUUUAGAUCCACAAUACGUAACAAUUAUUUCAGAAACAUUCUAGACUUUUCUUCCUAUGGUUUUUUGAUGUUACGUCACAUGAGGACUUUUCUCAGUCAAUCAUUCUAGUCUGCAACUCCAUGGAAGCAGCUGAAUGGGGGACAUCUAAUCUUCCUAAAUUCUACCAGGAAAAUACUAUAGUAGUAAUUACUACGUAGUAGUAAUAACACAAAAGUCAAGAAAACUGCAUCCUCCCUCCCUCUCCAUGGUUGAUUAUUGCCAUGAGAUUCCUCAACUUUCUCCUUAUUUCUACGGUUCUAACAAUCACCCUCCUCACAACCUCCACUCAGGCGGCCACUUUUGAGAUCCAAAACAACUGUGCCUACACGGUUUGGGCUGCUGCCACUCCCGGCGGCGGCCGGAGGCUUACUACUGGCCAAACAUGGACUGUCAACGUGGCAGCAACCACCGCAGGUCAAACUGGUCGUAUAUGGGCUAGAACCAACUGUACCUUCAACUCAAACGGCACCGGCAGCUGUCAAACGGGUGACUGCGGGGGACUUCUUAGGUGCGCAGUCGACGGUGUUCAUGCACCCCCAGUUACUCUAGCUGAAUACUCGUUGAACGGGUUUAAUAACCAAGACUUCCUCGACAUCUCCCUUCUUUAUGGCUUCAAUGUGCCAAUGGAGUUCAGUCGUCCAUCCAUUGGCUGCACCGGCGGCAUCAGGUGCGCCGCCGACAUAAAAGGACAGUGCCCGCCUAAGCUUAGAGCUCCCGGCGGUUGCAACAAUCCUUGUACCGUAUUCAAUACUGGUGGAUACUGUUGCACCUCUAGCCUCACAUGUGAACGGACCUACCUCGCCAGAUUUUUUAAGGAUAUGUGCCCAAAUGCAUUGAGUUACCCAACAGAUGACCAGAGUAGUAUAUAUACUUGCCCUGCAGGCGGCACCUAUGGGGUAGUCUUUUGCCCUUAGUAGAGCCGAACUACUUAGAGGCACUUGUAAGUCGUUAAGUACCAACACUCUGUAAUAGUUCAAUCAAGUGUUUAUCAUCAUCAGGAGAUUUUAGUGCCCUUCAUUCGAAUAUGGUGUGCUCAAAUUAAAUGAUAUAGCACUUUCACUUGCCCUGAAGGAACCAACUAUAGGGUUGUCUCUUGCCCUUAGACCAAUACCAAAGAUCCAAGUAAAAAUUCUUGCUACACAGUCAAAUAUGGUAUCGCAUGGGUUUGUUUGAACAGAGGAUUAUUUGAAGUAUCAUUUAAAAUAAUUACUGUAACACUUUUUGUAACGUGAUAUAUGUGAGAUAAAAAAAUGAUUAAAAAUAUAAAAAAAUAGAUUGAAAAUGUAUUUAUGAUAUAAGCUAAAUAUUAUUUGAAAUAAUUACUGUAGUAUUAUUUUUUGUAAUGUGAUAUAUACAAAAUAAAAAAUAAUUAAAAAUAUAAAAAAAUAGAUUAAAAAUAUAUUUAUAAUAUAAAUUAAAUAUUAUUUAGAAUAAUUUGCUAUCUAAACACUCCCGUCUAUGUUGCAAGCAGCACAUCAUGUAGUGAUGCACAAAUACAUCUCUAAGAUCAAAUAGACAGUUGGAUUGACUUUUGAGUUUAACGAAUGGUACUUAUCAAUGCGCGUUCAUAAAUAAAUUCUACAGUCCCUUAAUACGGGUGAACACAUAAUUGGUUAAUUCGUUUAGAUUUCAAUUUUCUUGGCAUACCUAGGCAAAAAAAAAAAAAAAAAAAAAGAAAUUCUAGCAUCCUUGAUAUGAUUGUUUCCAAAAAAAAAAAAAAAAAAAAAAAUCCUUGGCAAGUUAGAAGAUUCAUUAUUGAUACUUCUCUCAUUAUAUAUAUAUAUAUAUAUAUUGAUGUAACUUCGUAUGAUGACUUUUCUAGGUCAAUCAUUCCAGUCUGUGACCGUGUACAUCUAUCUCCCUAGUGCUACGCCGACCAGGAAAAGAUUGACUAGUAUUUAAUACUAGUAAUAGCAAUAAAUCAAGAAAACUGGCUCCAUGGUUGAUUGCUGUGCUGCCAUGAGAUUCCUCAAAUUUCUCCUUACCUCUACGGUUCUAAUAAUCACCCUCCUCUCAACCUCCACUGAGGCGGCCACUUUUGAGAUCCAAAACAAUUGUCCCUACACAGUCUGGGCUGCAGCGAAACCUGGCGGUGGUCGAAGGCUAGACCGAGGCCAAACAUGGACCAUCAACGUGGCAGCCGGCACAGCCGGAGGUCGCGUUUGGGGUAGGACAAACUGCAACUUUGAUGGCAGUGGCCACGGCAGCUGUCAGACCGGUGACUGUGGUGGACUUCUUCAAUGCACUGCCUACGGUGCACCACCAAAUACUCUAGCAGAAUACGCACUGAACCAGUUCAAUAACCUGGACUUCUUCGACAUUUCCCUUGUUGAUGGCUUCAAUGUGCCGAUGGAGUUUAGUCGUCCAUCCACUGGAUGCACCGGCGGCAUCAGGUGCGCCGCCG